ensembl:lncRNA CCDC144NL CCDC144A N-terminal like (pseudogene)
CGAGGCUUUGCGGUGGCUGCUUGGCGUGGCAGUGAUCGCUUGGCUUGGCAUUUCUGGCUUAGCGGUCCUCCUUUCGCAGAUUGGAAACCGCGGGCUAUCCUGCUGGGAGGUUGUGGCCGAGGCAGUAGCUCGCUACUGAUGGCCUCCUGGGGUGGAGAAAAGCGGGGAGGGGCUGGGGGGUCUCCGAAGCCGGCAGUCUACGCCACGAGGAAGACCCCUAGUGUUGGGAGCCAGGAGGACCAGUGGUACUUGGACUACCCGGGGGACCAGUGGUCCUUGGGCUUCUCCUACAGCUGGUGGAAGAACAGCGUCGGCAGCGAGAGCAAGCACGCAUUCAGCAACUAGUUCCUGAAUAUAAGGAAAAACAGACACCUGAAAGUCUUCCUCAAAAUAACAAUCCAGCUGCUCCAAGCCAGGCUGAAGGAGGAGAAGGAGGAGUCGCCUGUGGUACGGUGGAGCAGAUGACGUGGCUCUGCAGCUUGCCUCAUGCAGUUGGUGGUGGAGAUGGAGACCACAGCUCGACUGGAGCGGUAGGAGGGCACCCACGGGGGCCUGGAGAGUAUUGUCAUCUGCAUGAGCAAAGGGUUCAUCACCACAUCUUUGCAAGAGGAAAAAGAAAGGGGAAGAAUCAUGUGUCUAAUGUUGUAAGGUAAACAUUCACAACCAAAAACAAGGUUUUAUUAACUUUUGCCUUUAAGAACCUGCAGUGUUUAGCCCUCUUUGAUUCCUAGUAUUAUUACCUUUGGUAUGAACUCUUUUAUUAAACUGAUCACUCUAGA